ensembl:lncRNA
CAUAGAGUUAAUGUCAAUGGGUUGUUAGUGGCUCUUUUAUUCCAUGCCACUUCUGUCUGACUGUCACUUCUCAGAUUUGUGCAGACUUCACAACGCAGAAUACCAAGUCACGACAGGAGAGAUGGAGAGAGACUGGGAGCAUGAGAGAAGCUGCAAGUCUAAAACGAAUGGGAGGACACCAGGAUAGUAAGGUUGACGGGGGUGGGCAUCUAUUACGUCAAAGGAAAGGGAGGACGUGCUGCACAGGAUUCCUCAUCAGUUGAUGUCAGCGUUUCGGCACAGGGGAGUGAUUUAAGAGGGCAUGGCGUUCUUGUCGUGCACCCACCCCUCCGAGGCUGUUCCAGUCUGCCAGUCCCGCUACGCUCUGCACUGCAAUGUAAAAACAAACAAAACACCCUGGGCCUUUUUAAUUAUCUCCGGGGCACAGUCUGACAGCUCAGAGCUGAGGAGAUAACCAGCUAAAGCGGAGUAACCAGCUAUUACACUAAAUAUUUGGGUGCGUUGCACAGCUGAGGCCAUGAGUGAGAGUGUGGGAAAUAUCGACUGGUGGAAAGUUGGAAAACAAUUCAAACCCCAACUGGCAUGAUGGCAUUAACAGCUUAUCGUUAAUGUCACUCAGUAGUUAAGAUUUGAGUUGACUGUAGAGUUUACACAAUGGAAUGGAACUUUCGGGUUUGCUUUACUCGCUCAAUGUUCUAGGGUUCUAGCCAAUGGUUUGUCGUCAGGUGAGAUGUUUUUGACAUGGUUAGGAGACAGGGUUUUGCUGGCGCCAUUCUUAUUAUUUAUGGCAGGAGGGUGGAUAACGUUGGGGGUGGGUUACAUGUUGGUAAGGGGAUGUUAUUUGAAGGUCGUGACCUUUCCUUAUUACCAAUUUACAAACCAGCCCAGUGUUGUAAAUUGCUUUAUUGUGCCACAGAGCGUGGGCACCACUCACCCGCGCAGGGCCACCUUGAAACCAUGUUGAUGUUGACCUAUGGGGUCACUGGGGUACAAGAGUAUUUUAGUAAAUCAAAACUAAUCAUGAGAACUAUUUAGUAAACUGAAAUAAACUAAUUAACAAAUCUGCUUGAAAAAUGAAAACUCCAAAAUAAAAUAAAAUGAAACCCUAAUGAAAUAUGUUCAGUUUUCAAUGGAAUGGGGUUUACAAUGGAAUG